UUCGAUGGUAGGAUAGAGGCCUACCAUGGUAUCAACGGGUAACGGGGAAUUAGGGUUCGACUCCGGAGAGGGAGCCUGAGAAACGGCUACCACAUCCAAGGAAGGCAGCAGGCGCGCAAAUUACCCAAUCCCGACACGGGGAGGUAGUGACAAUAAAUACUGAUACAGGGCUCUUUUGGGUCUUGUAAUUGGAAUGAGUACAAUUUAGAUCCCUUAACGAGGAACAAUUGGAGGGCAAGUCUGGUGCCAGCAGCCGCGGUAAUUCCAGCUCCAAUAGCGUAUAUUAAAGUUGUUGCAGUUAAAAAGCUCGUAGUUGAACCUUGGGCCUGGCUGGCCGGUCCGCCUCACCGCGUGUACUGGUCCGGCCGGGCCUUUCCUUCUGGGGAACCUCAUGCCCUUCACUGGGCGUGUUGGGGAUCCAGGACUUUUACUUUGA
rnacentral:rRNA from 1 species